AAAAACGUCCGUCGAGAACGCGCUUGCGUAACUUGUUAAAGGAUGCGCAAGAACGGGCCUGGAGAUAUAAGGGGACGUCUUUUGGAGUUCAAGAGGCUGAUAGUGACGGGCAGCGAAGCCCUAACACGCUUGACACAACACACCACGAGUCUUAAACUAUCGCGAGACACAUGAAACUGGCGAGAUAAUUACAUUUUAACUAACUAAGAGUCUGUCUCCAGGAAACGUGUCGUUCACCUGGCGAGAGUCUCUUCUGAGAGCGGCUGGCUUCAUUUGUGUGCUUUUAAUUUUGAUUAAAGCCAGGCUGUUGAAGAUGGGAGCGUUAAACCCAAUGAACAUUUCCCUACGUCAAGAGGUGGAUCAUCAGUGUGGUGCGCAUUAGUCUGACUGACCUGGAGCUGGCCAUUGAUGGUACCAUCAUAAUGAGCGAGAACCUCCGUGAUGCACUGGACAAUAUUUUUGAUGCCCGUGUUCCAAACCUGUGGAGGUAAAUCUCCUGGGAGUCGUCCACACUUCUGGUACACAGAGCUUCUGGAGAGAAACAAACAGUUCCACAGCUGGGUGUUUGAAGGAAGACCCAAGACUUUUUGGAUGACCGGCUUCUUCAACCCACAGGGGUUCCUAACUGCUAUGAGACAAGAAGUAACGAGGGCAAACAAAGGCUAGGCUCUGGACACAGUCACCCUGCACAAUGAAGUACUGAAGCAGGCACAGGAGGAGAUCACAGCCUCACCUACAGAGGGAGUUUAUGUCUAUGGUCUGUAUCUGGAAGGUGCCAGCUGGGACAGGAAGAACACCCAUCUCAUCGAGUCCUCACCCAAAGUGCUCUUCACACCCGUGCCUGUCAUCCACAUAUUCGCCAUUAACUCCACUGCCCCCAUGGAUCCGAAACUACGUCUGCCCCAUCUACAAGAAACCAAGGCGCACAGACCUGAAUUACAUCACAGCAGUGUUGCCUACCGUCCAGCCACCAGACCACUGGAUCAUGCGUGGGGUUUCCCUGCUCUGCGACAUCAAAUAAUAGCUGGAUGUUAUGAAUGUAUAAUAUUGCUUAAAAGGAAAAUAUAUGUAUUUGUAUUGUCAAAUGCCUGUCAAGAGGUAUAUUUAAGAUAGUUACUAGUUAUAUUGCAGUGUAAAGUUGAAGUAUGACAAAUGCUAAACCAUUUAGAAUAGAUAUUCUAGUAAUGAGGUUUUAUUUUGCCAUUUUAUGCAUUUAAUUCAAAUGAGUGUAUUGGCCAGGUAGUAUGAGUGAUCUCUCAUAGGUUGCAGUUAAAUUACAUGUUUAUUGAAUAACUGAUCACAACCAUGCUGCUGAAAUGCUUCAGUCUGAAAGCUGUUGGUAAGUCUAGUCAUCCCAUUAAUAUCAAAACCUGAUGAAUCUUCUCUUGAGUUAUCUUCCAUCUGACAUAAAAAGCUUUUCAAUGAUAGUUGAGUUGUAUUGGAAUUCUGACAGGCAUGUCUGAAAAGUGAUCUCUCACUACUCAAAGACACUAUCUGUUCAAUCCAAAUCUUCCUAGCUUUCUAAAAACAGUGAAAAGUCUUUACACAUAAUCACCAUUGAUAAAACAAAAAAUGGUCCUCGGAAAGUACAAUACAAAACCUAAUGUGUAAAAUGUUCUAGCAGUCAGCAAGACAGACAAAACCACCAACAAGAAUCAAAGAAGGGAAUGGGCACAUGGAAAUAAUAGCCACACUCAUAGAGUGCAACCAAUUAAUCUCCAUGCCUGUUUUGUAUGCACAGGACCUGACACAGCUGGUUGGCUUCAAACAAUAUGGACAGCUCGCAUCUACUGAGGACAGAGCUGUGAAGUUUACCAACAUGUUUCUGUUGCCAUCCUGUCAGUCCCACUGGGAGUUAUGAAUGAAAGUCGAGAGUGGAGAUGAAGCCUGAAAGCCCCAACAGCUCAGAAGACAAAGCCAACCACCAGACCACUAUGGGAUGCAGGAAUCUGUCCACAUGAAAACCUUUGGGAAAGGGCCGUCAGCUGUUACAUGGUCACCACAGUUAUUGAUGCAUUCCCUUGCUCUUCCUUUGCUGUUCUUAUCCACCCAGGGAUAUCAUCCCGGACGGCCUCAGUGUCCUCUGGUGGCAAUGCAGAGCAACUUUGUCAGUGUAAAUUACAGGCAACGUGUAAUGAUGCAACAUCUAAUCAGUGUUUUUGUUUUAUUCCCCACUGAGAGAAUUCCUAUAAGUACUUUGUGGAUAGAGGCCUUAGGUUGGGUAAGGGUAUUCUGGUUAUUUUUUUUUAGAUAUAGAGAGAACAUGUUUUUGUGACUAUUAUCCUAUACUAAAUAUAACUCAUCUAUAACCCAUCCUUAUGGUGUGGCAGAUGUGUCUUCCAUAGGGAACACUCUACCACCAUCUGGUGGCAAGACAGUCAACACGGAAGACAACAAUUAUAUCAGUAACCCAGUUACACAUGGAUGAUGCAUAUCCAUGCAGAACUGUAUAUAAUACUUCAUGGUACUGCACUUUAUGAAAGUAAAACAUAAUAAAGUAACUGGAACUGAAACAUGAUUGGGUUUUGUGUUUCCCAUGCAAAAAGCUAAAGGAGUGUACAGUUUGUUAAGGAAAAUAAAACAGAAGAUUAAAAGAUCAUUUAAACUUAUUGACUCAUGAACAUGGACUCAAAGGCUUUUAGUUAGCCAAGUACUAAAAACAAGUUAAGCCACAAUUUAAAUCGAGCUUUUCUUUGAAAUAGGAUGGAAAAAAACCAUGACCACUUAUUUCUUCAAAUGGGUCGUUCAAACAAUGUUUGUAUGUUCAUAAACACCCAAAGCUACUCCAUUUUCAGCAUCUCUCAACAGUACCGGGUCUGUGGGGAAAUUAAUGCGUUUAGUCACAAGUCUGAGCAUGUUGCAGUAUUUCAGUGUGCAAAGUAGCGUUAUUAAUAGAAAACUGAAAACACACCCGAAAUGCCAAAGCAGCCGAUGGCAGGAGAAGAAUAGAGAACUGUGGCUGCCCCCACUGGGCGAUGAGUGCAUUGCCAGAGAGAAAUCCCUCUGUGUCACUGACAUUGCCCAGAGCUCAGUGCAGCUGUGAGGAGA